AGAGUUUGAUUAUGGCUCAGAACGAACGCAUGGCAGCUGCUUUCACUGACAGUCAGACGGCAGCGCGGGCUUCGGCCUGGCGGCGAGUGGCGAACGGGUGAGUAAUACAUCGUGAACGUGCCCAGUAGUGGGGGAUAGCCCGGCGAAAGCCGGAUUAAUACCGCAUACGACCUGAGGGUGAAAGCGGGGGACCGAAAGGCCUCGCGCUAUUGGAGCGGCCGAUGUCGGAUUAGCUAGUUGGUGGGGUAAAGGCCUACCAAGGCGACGAUCCGUAGCUGGUCUGAGAGGACGACCAGCCACACUGGGACUGAGACACGGCCCAGACUCCUACGGGAGGCAGCAGUGGGGAAUUUUGGACAAUGGGGGCAACCCUGAUCCAGCCAUGCCGCGUGCGGGAAGAAGGCCUUCGGGUUGUAAACCGCUUUUGUCAGGGAAGAAAUCCUCUGGGCUAAUAUCCCGGGGGGAAUAACGGUCCUGGAAAAAUAACACCCGGUUAAUUCCUUGCCCCUACCCCCGGUAUUACUUAGGGGGCACCCUUUAAUCGAAUUUCCGGGCUUUAAGUCUUGCCAUGCCGGUUGUGCAAAACGAAUUUAAAAUCCCCGGCUUUACCUUGGGACUUCCUUUCUGAACUGCCCGGUUAAGUUGCGGCAAAGGGAAUUGAAUUUCCGCUGGUACAAUUGAAAUGCCUAAAUUUCCGAAGAAACCCCAAUGCUGAAGCCGGUUCCUUGGCCUUGCAUGAAGGUUCAGCACUAAAACCUGGGGAAGCAAACAGGAUAUGAUACCCUGUACGUCACCGCCUAACCAAUGUCACCUGGUCGUUGUCCUUCCCUGAUCAGUACGUACCUACUCGUGAGUUGACCGCUGGGAGUCGGCCCACGUUGAACUCAAAUGAAUUGACGGGG
rnacentral:rRNA from 1 species